GGCGUGGUCACAGCUGCAGAGGAGACGUCUUGCUCUCUACAGUGCCGAGCAACAAAGUUCCACUCGGUAGGAGCAGUUAUACACUGCGGUCCGGUGAAAAUCCAUCAGAUGUCGGAACAGGAGAAGGAGGGAAUCUCCCGAUUGUAUUAACUGCUAACCAGGAAAUGGAAAAGUCCUUUUGUUAACUCAAUGAAUAUGGAAGUUCUGGUUUAACACGAGAAGGCUGGGCAAAGAACUAGAAACUUUAAUAAAAACAAAACAUUUCUAAUUCCUAUGCUACUGUAUAUGUGAUCAAUAUCUGUACACUUCUACUUGCAAAUUCUAUGUUUGUGUUUUGAAAAUAAUAAAAAUUACAUAAUGGAAAAAAAAACAAAA